AGUACAACAGGGUAGAGGACAUGCUCCUGGAACAGCUGCCGGCCCCUGAAUGACAUGGUCCUGCGGUUCCUGCCUCCACUGGCCCCAGGCCUCCAGUGGGGGCUCUCUGUACUUGUGUUCACCUCGUUUGCUAGUCCGUGUGUUCGUUGCCACGCGCUGUGGUCCAGGAGGAAGCAGAUGGCUGAGGACGAGCCCACCCAGGCUGCUGGACCUGCCUGCAGCCCCCUUGGCUCCCUCAGCCCUCAGCCCUCAGGACUCCGGGAUCCCUGUGGGUGGUGCCAGGGAGCCCUGGGUCCCUGUUGCUUCCUCCAGGUGUCCAUCGGCACCUGUGUCUCUGGUUUUCUCAGCUGACAGAUGAUUUUUAGCCUCUCUCCCCCCCUGUGUCCCUCACAGCAAUUAGCAUGUGGACACUCAGGGGUGUUUUUUCUUCUGUUCCCUUGCUUCCUGAGCCUCUUGAGAACAAGAUCUACUUGCCUGAGCAGUGGCCUUGGAGACCUGGGCCAGCCAUAGGGUGCUGUAGCUGCAAAACCCCACCCACCCGCGAGGUUCAGGUGCAGUUCAAGGGAAAGCCUGAGGGGAGCCAUGUCUAUGUCCAGGACUUGGAAUCCUGCUGGCCAGUGACUGCCGCCCACCAGGUAGCAGGAGGCCAGGUGAGUGGGCACUGCCUUGGCUCUCAGGUUGCCCACCUCCAGAAGGGAGAGAGAUUGUGUUUACCCCCUGACAGGUGCCCUCACACCGGGUAUCAUGAGGUUUCGUGUGGCAUGAACACUUUGUAACAUUGCCUGAUUAAAUGUAAGAAAAUUCAUCAAA